GCCAGGGGUGCCAAGGGAGAGAGCUUCACGGGGAUGUGAUGUCGGCUUUAAGUCUGGAAGGAUGAGUUCUGGGGGGAGAAAAAAGAGGCCCAAGAGGGGUGGGGCCCAUCGGGUACAGGAGACUUGGCAGCAAGGAAGAGAAAGUGUGGAGUGUGGCAUGUCUGAGGGGGGCAAAGUGGUUUCUUACUGGGGUGAGGAGAGCUUGGUGGGGAGCCAGGCUGGUGAGAUGAGUGGGGAUUCUUCCUUUGCCAGGCCAGUACUGAGGUUCUCAGCGCUCACUACCUGUCGGCGGCGGCAGGGGGCCUCCAUGGGUACAGAAGCUCCACUCCCCUCAACGGGCUCUGCUCCAGUGGGUAUCAGAGAUGUCUCUUUAGCAGCUCUAAAACAUAUUUGCUAUGAAUAGCCACCAACAGGAUUAUUAUGGGUUGCAAAUGGAAGAAAGAGAAAGGGAAGAGUAAAAGAGAAAGGGAAGAGUAAAAGAGAAAGGUUCAUAAAGGUUAGUGAGAAUCUGUAUACACUGCAGAAACAGUUUCCUCUGGAGAUGACAUUGACUGAGUCUGUAGUGGAAGUCAGGAGCAGAGGAAGCGUGGAGUGCGCACUAGCUCUCUAUGGAAGACGGGAGCAGGGGACGCGUGGAGCGUGCACUAGUCCUCCAUGGAAGUCAGGAGCAGAGAAUGCCUGGAAUGCGCACUAUCCUUCCAUAGAAGACAGGAGCAGAGGACGCCGGAGUGCGCACUAGCCCUCCGUGGAAGACGGGAGCAGAGGACAUCGGAGUGCGCACUAGCAGUCCAUGGAAGUCAGGAGCAGAGAAUGCCUGGAGGGCGCACUAGCCCUCCAUAGAAGACAGGAGCAGAGGACGUCGAAGUGCGCACUAGCCCUCCAUGGAAGACGGGAGCAGAGGACGGUGGAGUGCGCACCAGUCCUCCGUGGUAGACAGGAGCAGAGAAUGCCUGGAGUGUGUACUAGCCCUCCAUGGUAGAUGGGAGGAGAGAAUGCCAGGAGUGUGCACUAGCCCUCCAUAGAAGAUGGGAGCAGAGGACGCGUGGAGUGCGCACUAGCCCUCCUUGGAAGUCGGGAGCAGAGGACGCCGCAGUGCGCACUAGCCCUCCAUGGAAGACAGGCGCAGAGGACGCCGGAGUGCGCACUAGCCCUUCAUGGAAGACGGGAGCAGAGGAUGCGUGGAGUGCGCACCAGCCCUCCAUGGAAGUCAGGAGCAAAGGAUGUGUGGAGUGCGUACUAGCCCUCCAUGGCAGCAUUUCCCAAAUGGUGGCCCCUGAAUCUUUGUUCCUCCAGAUGUGCUAAAAGAAAAAGAGGCUUGUGGUUAAAUAAAUUUGGGAAAAUUUUAAG
rnacentral:lncRNA from 1 species